GGACCAUGACUAAUGUAGUCAAAGGUGAAAGUCAAAUAAAGAAGAUAAAUAAUUCCAAGGGAACAAACUUUCUUUAUGAAAUGAUGGACAUUGGAAGGGGUAUUUGCAUGAAUUGUCUUGCAAAUGUCAAAGACACACCUUUCGAAGGUGUUGUAAAUUGUUCUUGAAUAGUUCAAAACAGUUGGUUCUUCUACUUGAAUACUUGAUUCCGUAUUAGUAACUAUGUUUUACAAAUCGUUGUAAAAGUGUGACUAAUAAGAAGUAGAAGAUAUAUGAGAGAAGAAAAGGUGCUUCACAUUCGGAAAGUGAAUAAAAUAGAGAUCUCUGCGAAAGCGGAUUGUACUUACUUCCUCAUAUGAACUACCAAAGAAAUUGGAAAAACCAAAGAUUGUCUUUACAUUCCAAUUUUAAGGAAUUUAAUUUCGUCACUAUAGUAGAGAUGGAUAAAUGUUUUGUUUGACAAAACAUUAUUCUUUAUUAAUCAAUGAUUGGAUUAUAGUAAUCUAAUUGAUUAUCUCUAUAGUAGAGAUGAUAUGGUAGUGUUAACUGUUCAGAAUAAAAUGAUGCUUAAAACCCAAAAGGUUAAUUUACUUAGAUGUUAGUGGCACUUGUCCACAACAUAAUACUACUCAUGUUAUAUGACAUUCACCGAAGAUCACUCUCGGUUGGACUAUAGUUUAUUUUGAAUAAACACAAGUCCGAAUACUUUGCAAAAGGUUUCAAAGAAUUCAAAUAAUGUUAGUUGAUGAGUAAGACGUCUAAAGUAUUUACCUCCUUAGAUUUGAUCCAAGGAAAAGUAACACUUUAGAUGAGUUUCCUUGAAAGAUAUCAAGGAAAGGAGCAUCAUGAGAUAAUGAAUUUCUCCAUUAGGAGAAGAACGAACUCGAAUAAGAUUUAGUUCGUUAGAUGUUAUCUAUUACCCAUAUAUAGGAUAUAUACUUCUAAAACAAUAUGAUUGUCAAUUAAAAGAUCUUCCAAAAUUUUCAUAACUCCAUAAGAUGUACUUGGAAAGAAAGACAAAUCUUAAGCAUGUUAAGAUUUGGGGUUGUGGGCUAAUAAGCAAUAUUUGUUUGAUAACAAUCUUGUGAGAUAUCCUUAAAAUUAACUUUUGGAUAUCGCUUCUAUAAACCAACUAACAAAUGUUGUUUUGUUGGGUAGUUCAUUGUAACCUACAAUGUGAUUUGCCUAAUAGCAAAUAAACGAUUGAUAGAACUCAAAGAAUGCGUUCUUUGAGAGACAAGAAAGUAAUCAACAAAUAUAACAAUCUAGUUCCUAUACCAAAAGCUCCAAGGUAGUCGAGAAGGAUUUAUAAACCGUCUCAGUUGAAUGGUUUUGAACUUUAUGACUAUGUCAUAGAGUUACACCUCUUAAUUCGAAAGAAAUAAGAAAGAAAAUCCUUUUGACUACAUUGAGUGUAUAUAUGAUAUAUAUACUCAAGGAAAUGGUAAAGUACCAUUUGACCCGAAAUAAUGAAACCUUCAUAAGCUAAUUGGUAACUUAAGGUGACUACAAUCAAAGAGAAUGGUUGACUUUGAAGAAACCAUCUUUGAGAUAGUCUUGGUUUCAAUUAAUUCGAAGAUUGCUAGCUACAACUAAAUGAUGAUUCAAAGUUUUGACAUAAUAUGGGUUUCCGAAACCAUUAUUAAGAUAGUCUUGAUAAUAUAUGUCUAAAACUAUAAAUCACAACAUAUGUAAGUUGUAGAGAUCCAUCCAUCGUGGAUCUUAGCAAGCUAGUGGGAGCUAUUUGCAUCUUAUGAGAAA
rnacentral:lncRNA from 1 species